rnacentral:lncRNA from 1 species
AUGGACGUAAGACCUUUGUCCCGUCGGCUGGAGUCACCCCUGUCUCCUGCCCGUCACUCUGCUCAGGCUCGGGGGGCUGUGCAGCCUGCUCGGGGGGGCCAAAGCGGCGCUGGAGGGGCCAGCCUGGAAGAGGAGAUCCCCGAUGCGCUGGGGCGGGCAGCCAGUGCUGAGGGCAGCACAAGGUCCCAGGCCCAAGCUGCUGCGCGUGGGCUGGUCCCUGCUCCCCAGGUGGGGGCUGCCCUGCAGCAGACCCUCCAGCAUGUGCUGCGAUGGGGCGACCAGCUCAGUCGGGCUUUCCUGGGAGCUGAUGGCUCCCCGGAGACCCCCAGGUCUGAGGCAGGCCCUCAGGAUGCCGGGGCUGGCCUCAGUGGUUGGUGGGGCCAGCUGAGCCAGGCCUCCAGGAUUUAUGCUGCUCCUAGCAAGGAAAAGGUCCCCUUCAUCUGGUGGACAAAGCUGCGGACGGCUGCGGGGGAGUCCAGCCCUGGGCAGGCUGCUCGAUCUCAAACAUCCAUGAAUGAGCCUAGAGGCACGGAGCUGCAGCUUCUUCAGACCAAAGCUGUCCCUGAACUCCCCAGUCCAAAGGCCACUAGCAGUGCUGACACCUCUGGAACCUCUUCCCCUGAAGACCUCGUCCUGCUGCUGGAGCUGGAGCACCCACCAAGCCAGAUGAUCCCAUUGCUGGAGAAAAACUCCUGCCUGUUUCCCCAGAGCCUCGUCCGAAUGGGGAUCGGGCAGCACCUUCUGACCCAGAGGCGGGUGGUCCUCCUGGUCCUGACAAGGGCAGCUGGCUGGGCCGGCUCUUUGGAGCCACCAGCCCCUCUGCCAGGAGCUUCCCUCCCAAUCCUGACACCACCUCAGCCAAGUCCAGGUAAGGCCCAGCGGGGCAGGAAGGGUUUUUUCCCCCAGGCACACCCUGGGGCUCACGGGGUGUCCUGUACAGCCUGUUAUCCAGGUUCUGUGCUCCCAGGACUAGCAGUGCUGCUGCCAUUGCACCGCAUCUGUCCUUUAGAACGUGGAGGUGGAGGCUCGGUGGGGCUUGAUAGGGCCCUCGCCAGCUCCUGCAUCACCAGAAUAGUCUGA